GUGAAUCAUCGAAUCUUUGAACGCACAUUGCGCCCGCCAGCAUUCUGGCGGGCAUGCCUGUUCGAGCGUCAUUUCAACCCUCGACCUCCCUUUGGGGAAGUCGGCGUUGGGGACCGGCAGCACACCGCCGGCCCUGAAAUGGAGUGGCGGCCCGUCCGCGGCGACCUCUGCGUAGUAAACCAACUCGCACCGGAACCCCGACGUGGCCACGCCGUAAAACACCCAACUUCUGAACGUUGACCUCGAAUCAGGUAGGACUACCCGCUGAACUUAAGCAUAUCAAUAAGCGGAGGA
rnacentral:misc_RNA from 1 species